rnacentral:tRNA from 1 species
AGUUUUUUCUCAUCAUUAAUGGUAGAAUACAUUAGGUUAAAAUUAGUGACUACAUUUCAGCAUAAGUUUG